rnacentral:rRNA from 1 species
GGCGUAAGAGCUCGUAGGCGGCUUGUCACGUCGGGUGUGAAAGCCUGGGGCUUAACCCCGGGUCUGCAUUCGAUACGGGCUAGCUAGAGUGUGGUAGGGGAGAUCGGAAUUCCUGGUGUAGCGGUGAAAUGCGCAGAUAUCAGGAGGAACACCGGUGGCGAAGGCGGAUCUCUGGGCCAUUACUGACGCUGAGGAGCGAAAGCGUGGGGAGCGAACAGGAUUAGAUACCCUGGUAGUCCACGCCGUAAACGGUGGGAACUAGGUGUUGGCGACAUUCCACGUCGUCGGUGCCGCAGCUAACGCAUUAAGUUCCCCGCCUGGGGAGUACGGCCGCAAGGCUAAAACUCAAAGGAAUUGACGGGGGCCCGCACAAGCAGCGGAGCAUGUGGCUUAAUUCGACGCAACGCGAAGAACCUUACCAAGGCUUGACAUACGCCGGAAAGCAUCAGAGAUGGUGCCCCCCUUGUGGUCGGUGUACAAGUGCU